GCAUUACACAUAAUCAGUGAGAUUGCUACCAGUACAGUUAUUUCCCUGAGGAAAUCUGUAGACAUUAACAUAUAUUCGCCUAUUUCCUCUAGGUGCUCCAAGCAGUUACAUGGACAUACAGCCUGGCCAGUCAUGAGGACUCCAUAUGGACUUCGAUAACUCACCACACGCGCCGUCACAGGCAUGCCUUUCUCGUCCUUCUCUGCUGGGUCCAGCAUGCCCAACAGGAUGGCGAGGUCCCGAUUCCGGUCAU